AUUGAACGCUGGCGGCAGGCCUAACACAUGCAAGUCGAACGAUAACAGGAAGCAGCUUGCUGCUUUGCUGACGAGUGGCGGACGGGUGAGUAAUGUCUGGGAAACUGCCUGAUGGAGGGGGAUAACUACUGGAAACGGUAGCUAAUACCGCAUAACGUCGCAAGACCAAAGAGGGGGACCUUCGGGCCUCUUGCCAUCGGAUGUGCCCAGAUGGGAUUAGCUAGUAGGUGGGGUAACGGCUCACCUAGGCGACGAUCCCUAGCUGGUCUGAGAGGAUGACCAGCCACACUGGAACUGAGACACGGUCCAGACUCCUACGGGAGGCAGCAGUGGGGAAUAUUGCACAAUGGGCGCAAGCCUGAUGCAGCCAUGCCGCGUGUAUGAAGAAGGCCUUCGGGUUGUAAAGUACUUUCAGCGGGGAGGAAGGGAGUAAAGUUAAUACCUUUGCUCAUUGACGUUACCCGCAGAAGAAGCACCGGCUAACUCCGUG
rnacentral:rRNA from 1 species